UGGGGAAUAUUGCACAAUGGGCGCAAGCCUGAUGCAGCCAUGCCGCGUGUGUGAAGAAGGCCUUCGGGUUGUAAAGCAUUUUCAGCGGGGAGGAAGGCGAUAAGGUUAAUAACCUUGUCGAUUGACGUUACCCGCAGAAGAAGCACCGGCUAACUCCGUGCCAGCAGCCGCGGUAAUACGGAGGGUGCAAGCGUUAAUCGGAAUUACUGGGCGUAAAGCGCACGCAGGCGGUCUGUCAAGUCGGAUGUGAAAUCCCCGGGCUUAACCUGGGAACUGCAUUCGAGACUGGCAAGCUAGAGUCUUGUAGAGGGGGGUAGAAUUCCAGGUGUGGCGGUGAAAUGCGUAGAGAUCUGGAGGAAUACCGGUGGCGAAGGCGGCCCCCUGGACAAAGAAUGACGCUCAGGUGCGAAAGCGUGGGGAGCAAACAGG
rnacentral:rRNA from 1 species